rnacentral:rRNA from 1 species
AUUGAACGCUGGCGGCAGGCCUAACACAUGCAAGUCGAACGGUAGCACAGAGGAGCUUGCUCCUUGGGUGACGAGUGGCGGACGGGUGAGUAAUGUCUGGGAAACUGCCCGAUGGAGGGGGAUAACUACUGGAAACGGUAGCUAAUACCGCAUAAUGUCGCAAGACCAAAGAGGGGGACCUUCGGGCCUCUUGCCAUCGGAUGUGCCCAGAUGGGAUUAGCUAGUAGGUGGGGUAACGGCUCACCUAGGCGACGAUCCCUAGCUGGUCUGAGAGGAUGACCAGCCACACUGGAACUGAGACACGGUCCAGACUCCUACGGGAGGCAGCGGUGGGGAAUAUUGCACAAUGGGCGCAAGCCUGAUGCAGCCAUGCCGCGUGUAUGAAGAAGGCCUUCGGGUUGUAAAGUACUUUCAGCGAGGAGGAAGGUGUUGUGGUUAAUAACCGCAGCAAUUGACGUUACUCGCAGAAGAAGCACCGGCUAACUCCGUGCCAGCAGCCGCGGUAAUACGGAGGGUGCAAGCGUUAAUCGGAAUUACUGGGCGUAAAGCGCACGCAGGCGGUCUGUCAAGUCGGAUGUGAAAUCCCCGGGCUCAACCUGGGAACUGCAUCCGAAACUGGCAGGCUAGAGUCUUGUAGAGGGGGGUAGAAUUCCAGGUGUAGCGGUGAAAUGCGUAGAGAUCUGGAGGAAUACCGGUGGCGAAGGCGGCCCCCUGGACAAAGACUGACGCUCAGUGCGAAAGCGUGGGGAGCAAACAGGAUUAGAUACCCUGUAGUCCACGCUGUAAACGAUGUCGACUUGGAGGUUGUUCCCUUGAGGAGUGGCUUCCGGAGCUAACGCGUUAAGUCGACCGCCUGGGGAGUACGGCCGCAAGGUUAAAACUCAAUGAAUUGACGGGGCCCGCACAAGCGGUGGAGCAUGUGGUUUAAUUCGAUGCAACGCGAAGACCUU